UACGUAGGGGGCAAGCGUUGUCCGGAAUCAUUGGGCGUAAAGAGCGUGUAGGCGGCCCGGUAAGUCUGUUGUGAAAGUCCAGGGCUCAACCCUGGAAAGCCGAUGGAUACUGCCGGGCUAGAGUUCGGAAGAGGCGAGUGGAAUUCCUGGUGUAGCGGUGGAAUGCGCAGAUAUCAGGAGGAACACCGAUGGCGAAGGCAGAUCUCUGGGCCGUAACUGACGCUGAGGAGCGAAAGCAUGGGGAGCGAACAGGAUU
rnacentral:rRNA from 1 species